rnacentral:rRNA from 1 species
UUGUGGGUAGCGGUGAAAUUCCAAUCGAGCCCGGAGAUAGCUGGUUCGCCCCGGAAUGGCUGUAGGGCGUGCCUCAAGGGGAGGGAUACGGAGGUAGAGCACUGAAUGUCCUAGGGGGUAUUGCACCGACCGAAGACUAUCAAACUCCGAAUGCCGUCAUCUUAUACUGGGGAGUCAGACUGUGGGGGAUAAGAUUCAUAGUCGAAAGGGCAACAGCCCAGAUCGUCAGCUAAGGUCCCUAAAUGUAAGUUAAGUGGUAAAGGAUGUGGGAUUGCACAGACAACCAGGAUGUUGGGUUAGAAGCGGCCAAGCAUUCAAAGAGUGCGUAAUAGCUCACUGGUCGAGUGAUCCUGCGCCGAAGAUUUCCGGGGCUAAAACUUACUACCGAAGCUACGGCAUCAGUAAUGAUGGGUAGGGGAGCUUCCCAUACGGGUUGAAGCAUGACCGUAA